UACGGAGGGUGCGAGCGUUGUCCGGAAUCAUUGGGCGUAAAGGGCGCGUAGGUGGCGGCUUAAGCGUGCGGUGAAAGCUCGGGGCUCAACCCCGAGUCGGCCGUGCGAACUGAGUCGCUUGAGCACUGUAGAGGCAGGCGGAAUUCCGGGUGUAGCGGUGGAAUGCGUAGAGAUCCGGAAGAACACCGGUGGCGAAGGCGGCCUGCUGGGCAGUUGCUGACACUGAGGCGCGACAGCGUGGGGAGCAAACAGG
rnacentral:rRNA from 1 species